rnacentral:rRNA from 1 species
GAGUGAAGGGGGGGGCCAGGCCUAACCCAUGCAAGUCGAACGGUAACAGGAAGAAGCUUGCUUCUUUGCUGACGAGUGGCGGACGGGUGAGUAAUGUUUGGGAAACUGCCUGAUGGAGGGGGAUACCUACGGGAAAGGGUAGUAAAUACCGCAAACCGCCGCAGGACCAAGGGGGGGGACCUUGGGCCUCUUUGCCAUGGGAGGUCCCCAGAUGGGAUUGGCUGGUAGGUGGGGUAACGGCUCACCUAGGCGACGAUCCCUAGCUGGUCUGAGAGGAUGACCAGCCGCACUGGAACUGAGACACGGUCCAGACUCCUACGGGAGGCAGCAGUGGGGAAUAUUGCACAAAGGGCGCAAGCCUGAUGCAGCCAUGCCGCGUGUAUGAAGAAGGCCUUCGGGUUGUAAAGUACUUUCAGCGGGGAGGAAGGGAGUAAAGUUAAUACCUUUGCUCAUUGACGUUACCCGCAGAAGAAGCACCGGCUAACUCCGUG